ensembl:lncRNA
CUAUGAACAGUAAGGUUGUUUUCGUUAGCUAGGGAGGCAAUAAAUGUUUAUGCCUAAUUUAAGCAAUUGCAGACAGUACCUAUUAUGUUUGGAGUAGUGGAUUUUAACAGCAAAGACGAAUUGGAAAAAAAAAGUAUAACUGCCUUUUUAUUAAGACGUAAAUCCAUGGAGGUUUAAUUGGAAGGAGACAGGUGAAAGAGAGCAGUACUUUGCCUCCUUCCAGAAAUUCUCCCACGUAACAUUCUCAGCAGGGUAGUAAGUGCCAACAGAUUCCGCCAAGGAAACAAAAGACAGAAUGAUUUUAUCACAAGCACAGUUUUCACUGGGAAUCCUGUGAUCUGCAGUAGAAGCAACAAGAAGGCUAGAAGAAAAUGGACAUGCAAGAGCUGUAAGAAAGCAUCAGCUGUGGCAAAGGAAAAGGAAAGCUGCGUCUCUGCUCAAAAGGAUGCCAGUAUAAGAUGGACAGCACUUCGUAACAGCGGUUCCUCUGACAAACCUUAGAGUGAGAAGAACAUCUUUGUCGACCUUGGUACAACUGAGAUCCUCAGGAAAUCUCAGUUCUGAGAAAACAGGAGGUCUCCAAGCUGCAGUUUCAGGGUGUCAAGCACAAGAAUUGAUCUACUGAGGAAGCCAGUUAUUCUCCCUCCGCAGUCAACAAAAAGGGAGAAGAUCUCUCCAAGAGCAACCAUCCUCAUCCCCAACAUGGCUGCCUGGAAUAGCCUUGCAGGCCUCAAUCAAAAAUGACACAAGACAACAGAUGGAUGCAAGUACACGGGGGAAACAGAAGACAAAAC